GGUCAAGUUAUUAAGGGUGCAGGGCGGAUGCCUUGGCACUAGGAGCCGAUGAAGGACGUGAUAAGCUGCGAUAAGCUUCGGGGAGUUGCACGUAAACUUUGAUCCGAAGAUUUCCGAAUGAGGAAACUCACUUAGAGUAAUGUCUAAGUAUCAUUAAGUGAAUACAUAGCUUAAUGAGGGGAACUCAGGGAACUGAAACAUCUAAGUACCUGAAGGAAGAGAAAGAAAUUCGAUUCCGUAAGUAGCGGCGAGCGAACGCGGAUUAGCCCAAACCAAUAAAGUUUUCUUUAUUGGGGUUGCGGACAUAUCAUAACGAAGAGGUAUCGUAAUUGAAGAGGUUUGGAAAGACCCACCACAGAAGGUAAUAGUCCUGUAUGUUAAACGAGAAGACUUCAGAUAUGAUCCAGAGUACCACGGGACACGUGAAACCCUGUGGGAAGCAGGAGGGACCACCCUCCAAGGCUAAAUACUACCUAGUGACCGAUAGCGUAUAGUACCGUGAGGGAAAGGUGAAAAGAACCCCGGGAGGGGAGUGAAAUAGAACCUGAAACCCUGCACUUACAAGCUGUGGAAGCACAUUUCUUGUGUGACCGCGUACUUUUUGUAGAACGGGCCAACGAGUUACGUUAAGUAGCAAGGUUAAGCACUUAAGGUGCGGAGCCGUAGCGAAAGCGAGUUUUAACUGAGCGUUCAGUUACUUGACGUAGACCCGAAACCGGGCGACCUACCCAUGAGCAGGAUGAAGCGAAAGUAAAAUUUCGUGGAGGUCCGAACCCACGAGCGUUGAAAAGCUCGGGGAUGACUUGUGGGUAGCGGUGAAAUUCCAAUCGAGCCCGGAGAUAGCUGGUUCUCCCCGAAAUAGCUUUAGGGCUAGCCUCAAGGUGAGAGAUACGGAGGUAGAGCACUGAAUGUCCUAGGGGGUAUUGCACCUACCGAAGACUAUCAAACUCCGAAUGCCGUCAUCUUAUACUUGGGAGUCAGACUGUGGGUGAUAAGAUUCAUAGUCGAAAGGGCAACAGCCCAGAUCGUCAGCUAAGGUCCCUAAAUGUAAGUUAAGUGGUAAAGGAUGUGGGAUUGCACAGACAACCAGGAUGUUGGCUUAGAAGCAGCCACUCAUUCAAAGAGUGCGUAAUAGCUCACUGGUCGAGUGAUCCUGCGCCGAAGAUUUCCGGGGCUAAAACUU
rnacentral:rRNA from 1 species